UUCUACGGCAAAGUCUCCACUCAUUACGGAUAUGGAGGUGGUGCAAGGCCUUACUCAACCGUGCUUCUGGCUACAUGAGUGCGUUAGCGAUGCAGACGAUGAAGCAAUGAUUGAGAUUAAGUUGUCGGACCACCAAUUCCACUACAUUGAGGAAACAUCGACCUUUAUUUCUAAGGCUAUUAUACAAUGAUUUGAGGCGAUCUAGUCAGCCAAUGUUUGGUUGGUUA